AGACUUUGACUUUCCUGCCUUGUCAAUAUCUUCAAUGGUCUGAUCCUCUACAAAGAUCACAUCACAGCUUCUGACAAGUUUCUUUUCAACUGGAUCAUAAAACCUGUAGCCAAACUCAUUUAGACCAUAUCAAAUGAAGAUGCAUUGCCUUGUCUUGGCAUCUAACUUGGAUCUCUCAUCUUUAGGGACAUGCACAAAGCAUUUGCAGCCAAAAACAAGUAAAUGGUCAUAGGAAACAUCCCUACCAUACCUCAACCUGUUAG
rnacentral:misc_RNA from 1 species